UGAUGAAAGCGGGCGCAGCCGGCAUCCUGACCCGCUUCUGACACCCUGGGCGGCCUCCUUCCUGAAAGGCGACAAGCCGUUUGGCAGCGAUGUCCUCUCGGCAACGUGGAUGCGGUCGUGGCUCCCGGAGGACAGACGAGGCCCCGCCACGGGAGCGCCGUGGCCCUGACCCCACGCGGGAAGGCGGCAGCUGCCUGCGUGGCCUCCAGCCUCCCUCCCGCCUUCACCCGCGGCCGCCCGCUGCGGGAACCUAAGCCGCAGGUGGCCACGCCCACGACCUCGGGGCACCUCAGUGAUGGAAAGGAAGGGCAGGCGCCGGGGCCCACUCGUGUCUGUGUCAUGAACGGCCUUCGCCUGCUGUGAGCCGCCGCAGGGGACAAUCAGGCACAAGCGAACCUGGACCAAACCUAGGCCUCCUCCUCGCUCAUCCUGAACACAGUCCGUCCCGGGGCGGGCCUGGCCCGGAGCGCUGGGACCUGCGCGGCACACCCGAGGCGGCUGGCUCCGUUCUGGGUUAUCGGGGAGCACCCGGGAGGCCCUGUCCACCCCGUGCAGAAAAUGGGGUUAUUUGUCCCAAGGUUUCAACACUAAUCAAUGUCUGGACGUCAUCGCAGCUGCCAAAAGGUGGCUCCUACGCUCACACCCGGUCUCGUGGCCCCGUGGCCCGGGCCCCGCAUUAGGACUCUUCGGCAGGAUCACCGGCAUCUCCCAUUCCCUUCAGGCCGGUCGCCUGUGCAGUCCGGCGCCGAGUGCUCUCAAGGAUCAUCCUCGGCAGCCCGCCCCGGAGAGCCACCAACGUGCUGACCGGCGUUCCCAACGCCGAGGCCCUAACCAAGGCUGUCGCCCCAAUAAAAAUUCUCUGAACAAGCAGAUUUCUCAGAACCCACACCACACUGCCCACUUGUAGGGCUCGAUCACUUUCUAUGAACGAGGA